rnacentral:lncRNA from 1 species
UUGAGCAAGUCGGUAAAAAAUUUCAUGCCAUGUUUUAAUUUUGAGUUCAUACAUUUUUUAUUUUACUCAGGAUUUACACAAACAACGUCCAUAAGAUCAAGAACUUACAUGUACACAGUACACUAUAGGUUUUUCUUUUUAGCUAUUGUGAUGGAGAAUUUAAGGUGGUCAGCAACGGGAAAGUUUACUUUUGGUACUGCACAAAAUUAUAAACAAAUACCGAAAACCAAGUUGAAAAAUAACAAUACAUAGAACAUAGAACUUCUAUGAUAGAAUAAAUACUUCCAACUUACAAAACCUAGAUCUAACGCAAGAAAAAAACACAACAAAAAAAUACACACAUCAAAACAAAAGCAAACAACUAAGAACAACUCAA